AUGGAAGUUCCAGUAUUCGUGAGAGUGUUUCAUCUAAUCGACCCUUAUGGACUUCUCUGUACAGUCCUUGAUAGAAUGAAGCAAAAGGUUUCCUUAUUUGUGCCGAAUUACAUGUGAGUUUAUUAUCUAGCAUUUUGACGGCCUUGAUCCUCUGUUUUUCCCAACUAUUUCUUCAACAUUUUACUAACCUCUUCAUUGAAUUUAUAUUGGAUCUUUGGAAUUUGUUUUUUACUAAUUUGUCCCUCUUCCGCGUUGUAUAAAAAUCUAAUUCUUCUCAUUGUUUCUUCAUUUUUCUUAAUUGAUCUUGGGUUUAUAUAUUGAAUUUAACCUGUUGUAGACUUUGUAAGGUUUUCCGUUCUUUAAUUUUUCUUUUCCUCUCCCUAAG
rnacentral:lncRNA from 11 species